GCAUGUCUAAGUAUAAGCAAUUAUACCGUGAAACUGCGAAUGGCUCAUUAAAUCAGUUAUCGUUUAUUUGAUAAUACCUUACUACUUGGAUAACCGUGGUAAUUCUAGAGCUAAUACAUGCUGAAAAUCCCGACUUCGGAAGGGAUGUGUUUAUUAGAUAAAAAACCAAUGCCCUUCGGGGCUUUUUGGUGAUUCAUGAUAACUUUACGGAUCGCAUAGCCUUGCGCUGGCGACGGUUCAUUCAAAUUUCUGCCCUAUCAACUUUCGAUGGUAAGGUAUUGGCUUACCAUGGUUUCAACGGGUAACGGGGAAUUAGGGUUCGAUUCCGGAGAGGGAGCCUGAGAAACGGCUACCACAUCCAAGGAAGGCAGCAGGCGCGCAAAUUACCCAAUCCCGACACGGGGAGGUAGUGACAAUAAAUACUGAUACAGGGCUCUUUUGGGUCUUGUAAUUGGAAUGAGUACAAUUUAAACCUCUUAACGAGGAACAAUUGGAGGGCAAGUCUGGUGCCAGCAGCCGCGGUAAUUCCAGCUCCAAUAGCGUAUAUUAAAGUUGUUGCAGUUAAAAAGCUCGUAGUUGAAACUUGGGCCUGGCUGGCGGGUCCGCCUCACCGCGUGCACUCGUCCGGCCGGGCCUUCCUUCUGAAGAACCUCAUGCCCUUCACUGGGCGUGCUGGGGAAUCAGGACUUUUACUUUGAAAAAAUUAGAGUGUUCAAAGCAGGCCUUUGCUCGAAUACGUUAGCAUGGAAUAAUAAAAUAGGGCGUGCGUUUCUAUUUUGUUGGUUUCUAGAGACGCCGCAAUGAUUAACAGGAACAGUCGGGGGCAUCAGUAUUCAGUUGUCAGAGGUGAAAUUCUUGGAUUUACUGAAGACUAACUACUGCGAAAGCAUUUGCCAAGGAUGUUUUCAUUAAUCAGUGAACGAAAGUUAGGGGAUCGAAGACGAUCAGAUACCGUCGUAGUCUUAACCGUAAACUAUGCCGACUAGGGAUCGGGCGAUGUUCUUUUUCUGACUCGCUCGGCACCUUACGAGAAAUCAAAGUUUUUNGGUUCUGGGGGGAUUAUGGNCGCA
rnacentral:rRNA from 1 species